UACGUAGGGUGCGAGCGUUGUCCGGAAUUAUUGGGCGUAAAGGGCUCGUAGGCGGUUUGUCGCGUCGGGAGUGAAAUCCACUGGCUUAACUGGUGGCUUGCUUUCGAUACGGGCAGACUGGAGGUAUGCAGGGGAGAACGGAAUUCCUGGUGUAGCGGUGAAAUGCGCAGAUAUCAGGAGGAACACCGGUGGCGAAGGCGGUUCUCUGGGCAUGUCCUGACGCUGAGGAGCGAAAGUGUGGGAGGAGCGAACAGG
rnacentral:rRNA from 1 species